rnacentral:rRNA from 1 species
AACAAACGCUGGCGGCGUGCCUAAUACAUGCAAGUCGAACGAGGUAGCAAUACCUAGUGGCGCACGGGUGAGUAACGCGUGGAUAAUCUGCCUUUGAGUGGGGGAUAACUAGUCGAAAGAUUAGCUAAUACCGCAUAAGGCCACAGGAACUGAGGUUCUAGGGGUUAAAGGUUUUUCGCUCAUAGAUGAGUCCGAGUGGGAUUAGCUAGUUGGUGAGGUAACGGCUCACCAAGGCGACGAUCUCUAACUGGUCUGAGAGGAUGAUCAGUCACACUGAAAAUGAGACACGGUCCAACCUCCUACGGGAGGCAGCAGUAGGGAAUAUUGCACAAUGGAGGAAACUCUGAUGCAGCGACGCCGCGUGGGUGAUGAAGGCUUUCGGGUCGUAAAGUUCUGUCGCAGGGGAAUAACACAAUGAAUGUACCCUGUAAGAAAGGAUCGGCUAACUUCGUGCCAGCAGCCGCCGUAA